CAGUCGCCACGGGAAUACGUAGGGUGCAAGCGUUAUCCGGAAUUAUUGGGCGUAAAGAGCUCGUAGGCGGUUUGUCGCGUCUGCUGUGAAAACUGGAGGCUCAACCUCCAGCCUGCAGUGGGUACGGGCAGACUAGAGUGCGGUAGGGGAGAUUGGAAUUCCUGGUGUAGCGGUGGAAUGCGCAGAUAUCAGGAGGAACACCGAUGGCGAAGGCAGAUCUCUGGGCCGUAACUGACGCUGAGGAGCGAAAGCGUGGGGAGCGAACAGGAUUAGAUACCCAGUAGUCCCUGUCUCUUAUACA
rnacentral:rRNA from 1 species